CACAAGCGGUGGAUGAUGUGGAUUAAUUCGAUGCAACGCGAAAACCUUACCUACCCUUGACAUGUCCGGAAUCCCGAAGAGAUUUGGGAGUGCUCGCAAGAGAACCGGAACACAGGUGCUGCAUGGCUGUCGUCAGCUCGUGUCGUGAGAUGUUGGGUUAAGUCCCGCAACGAGCGCAACCCUUGUCAUUAGUUGCCAUCAUUUGGUUGGGCACUCUAAUGAGACUGCCGGUGACAAACCGGAGGAAGGUGGGGAUGACGUCAAGUCCUCAUGGCCCUUAUGGGUAGGGCUUCACACGUCAUACAAUGGUCGGUACAGAGGGUUGCCAAGCCGCGAGGUGGAGCCAAUCCCUUAAAGCCGAUCGUAGUCCGGAUCGCAGUCUGCAACUCGACUGCGUGAAGUCGGAAUCGCUAGUAAUCGUGGAUCAGCAUGUCGCGGUGAAUACGUUCCCGGGUCUU
rnacentral:rRNA from 1 species